AGCGAACGCUGGCGGCAGGCUUAACACAUGCAAGUCGAACGGUCCUUCGGGAUAGUGGCGGACGGGUGAGUAACACGUGGGAACGUACCCUUAGGUUCGGAACAACACAGGGGAACUUGUGCUAAUACCGGAUAAGCCCUUCGGGGGAAAGAUUUAUCGCCUUUGGAGCGGCCCGUGUCUGAUUAGCUUGUUGGUGAGGUAAUGGCUCACCAAGGCUACGAUCAGUCUCUGGUCUGAGAGGAUGGCCAGCCACACUGGGACUGAGACCCGGCCCAGACUCCUACGGGAGGCAGCAGUGGGGAAUCUUGCGCAAUGGGCGAAAGCCUGACGCAGCCAUGCCGCGUGGAUGAUGAAGGUCUUAGGAUUGUAAAAUCCUUUCACCGGGGACGAUAAUGACGGUACCCGGAGAAGAAGCCCCGGCUAACUUCGUGCCAGCCGCCGCAGUAA
rnacentral:rRNA from 1 species